GAGUUUGAUCAUGGCUCAGGACGAACGCUGGCGGCGUGCCUAAUACAUGCAAGUCGAGCGAGCGGAACUAACAGAUUUACUUCGGUAAUGACGUUAGGAAAGCGAGCGGCGGAUGGGUGAGUAACACGUGGGGAACCUGCCCCAUAGUCUGGGAUACCACUUGGAAACAGGUGCUAAUACCGGAUAAGAAAGCAGAUCGCAUGAUCAGCUUUAAAAGGCGCGUAAGCUGUCGCUAUGGGAUGGCCCCGCGGUGCAUUAGCUAGGUUGGUAAGGUAAGGCUUACCAAGGCGAUGAUGCAUAGCCGAGUUGAGAGACUGAUCGGCCACA
rnacentral:rRNA from 1 species